rnacentral:rRNA from 1 species
AACGAACGCUGGCGGCAUGCCUAAUACAUGCAAGUCGAACGAGAAAGCACUUCGGUGUGAGUAGAGUGGCGCACGGGUGAGUAACACGUAGGUGAUCUGCCUUUUAGUGGGGAACAACAUACCGAAAGGUAUGCUAAUACCGCAUAAUCUGAACAACUUUGGAAGGAGUUCAGGAAAGGGGGCCUUUGGCUCUCGCUGAAAGAUGAGCCUGCGAAGUAUUAGCUUGAUGGUGGGGUAAUGGCCUACCAUGGCGAUGAUACUUAGCUGGUCUGAGAGGAUGAUCAGCCACACUGGAACUGAGACACGGUCCAG